rnacentral:rRNA from 1 species
CACGCUGUAAACGAUCAAUACUAGGUGUGCGGGGACUGACCCCCUGCGUGCCGCAGUUAACACAAUAAGUAUUGCACCUGGGGAGUACGAUCGCAAGGUUGAAACUCAAAGGAAUUGACGGGGGCCCGCACAAGCGGUGGAUUAUGUGGUUUAAUUCGAAGCAACGCGAAGAACCUUACCAGGUCUUGACAUCCCGAUGACCGCUCUAGAGAUAGAGUUUUCCCUUCGGGGACAUUGGUGACAGGUGG